AAAGCUCUCUCGCGAAAGCUUUGCUGCACUCGCGCACACACACACGCACUUGAGUUGCGAUCAGCUGAGCGCAGCUUAAGUUUUGCAAGAACUUGUUCUCACGCACUGCACGCGGUAAUUUUUUUUGUUAAAAUAUUGUUAAUUUGUAUAACACUCCGGCUGCCAGAGGCAGCAGUUGCGUAUAGUUUACCCACUAUAAGCGGGAUUUGUAUGGAUUGCCCUGGGGCGGGCUUUAUACAGUGUCAAUGUCACUUUCUUGGUUUAUGCCUGCUGCCAGCGGUGCACUAACGCGCACACACACACGAGACUGCAAUUUUCACGUCCGAUCUCCAGAGAAACACAAACAAUUUGAAGCGUCGCCUUUUGGUUUAUUUCUAAAUUCCACAAAUGUGUGUGCCAUAAACUCCCUCAAGAUGCCUGCCUAAGACUUCCCAUUCAUUAAAAGCUUUUAUUUAAUUUUCUAUGAAAUUCUAUUCACAAAUUCAAAAACAGAAACGCGUUUCUUUUCUUUUCUUUGGCUAAUGGUUAAAAUCCGUAGGAGUUUAUUUACUUUUGGCAAAUCACAAAAAAUGACGGCACCAGAAAAAAAGUAAAAUUUUUUAAAUUAAAAAAAAAAAUACUGACUACAAUAUACUCUGUUUUGGAGUGAGGAAAUCUAAUUGGUUACUUGUAAAAUAAAUUUGUGGGACUUGUAGAUAGAUAUUUUUCAGAUUUAUAAGGUCGAAAUUCGAAUAGCUCGGCCCGGUAUACCUCGCUUUUACUUAUUCCGCAAUACAAAGUAUAAAAACAAGAAGAAACGAUGUAGAAAUCUAAAAUGCCAAAUAAAACAAAAAACAAUUUACAGUGACUGACGCUGCAACAUAAA